CUUCCUGUCUUCCCAAUCCAAAGAGGCUCUGGGUCCAGCAGGGGCAGGAGCAGUAGGAGAAAUCUUUAGCCCUGCAGCAGGGCAGCUCUGGGCCAUGCCCACAGCUACACGUGGGCCACAGAUGGCUGAACCACACGGACAUACCAGCACAGGCACAAUGUCACCUGUCCCAUCUGGGAGAACAGGAACCCCUUCUCUCUCACGGUUGUACUCCCAGAGAGGAGCUCAAUUCCCAGCACAUGGCAGAUGCGCACUAAUAUUUGGCCCCCAGCACCACUCCAUCAAGGUGCCCAGUGCUGCCAGCUCCUGCAGUGACCACCAGAAGUGGCCCAAGUCUGGCAUUAUUCAUAUUCCUACUAGACACACACCUAAGCUGACUAUGUGCAUCUCGAAACAGAGGCCUUGAUCCUGCAGGCUGAUGACACCACUCGAGGAAACCAGCCAGCCCUGGGGGCUCUGACGCUGGAUGCAGCCCUCCCAGGAAAUAGCUCCACUGGCUGCAGUAACUGGAGGCUCCUGAGCCACAUUUCAGCCUGCAGUGGGUGGUGGGUGGGCCCCAGCCCAACUGCUGCCCUGCCCCAGGAAGAAGCAGGCCCGUCAAAAUGUCUGACCCCGUCCGUCCCCCAUCCCCUCCCCUGCCCCAGUCUGUCCUCAGUCCUGAUCCCCCUGCCCGCCCCACAGUGGCCCAGGCUGGCCAUGCCCUUCCCACCCUGCAGGCCAGCUGCUCAGAGCCAGGGGCUCACAGCCAGGGACGGAGGCUAUCCCAGCUCCCACCCGGGCUGGGCCCAAACCUGCCUCCUUUGGGCCUCAUUCUGAUUGGAAAAAAACAGCCUCUCUAGUCCCUGUCUCAGGAAGAUGACUUUUCAAACCAGAAUCUUUCUCACAAGUGUCUCCUCAGGACACAGCUGUGUGGUUUCCUGAAGCUCUUUCUGGUUCAAGAUCUGAUCAGGAGUCCAAUGUGAAUAGGAGACAACAGAGAGCUGUCUUUGUACUUUGGCUCUGAGGAAGGUUUGUGGAAUGGACCGCGUGUGGCCUGAGAGAGCUCGCAUUUCAGGGAAUGCCUGGGCUUGAUGCCUGUUAUCUUGUUCAGUGCCUCUGAUAAAUUAAUAAACUGGAAUCUCACU